GGGCUUGCUUCGGCAGCACAUAUACUAAAAUUGGAACAAUCUGAAGAAGAUUUGCAUAUGACCUCUGCACAAGGAGGACACUCAGGUUUGUGAAGAAGAGGCAAAGUAU